GUGGCUACCAGUGGGCUCUUGGAUGAUAGUGAAGAUGAAGGAUGGCAAGUGAUGGAACCAAAAAAUAAAGGCAUUGUAACCAGAGAUGUGUUGAUUUGGUCACAUGUUGAUUCAGUGCUAGCAGCUCAAGACCACCUUACUAGCAAGGAGUAUAUUCAAGGGUAUGCAUGCAAUAAAACAAAACCAUAGAUUUUCGUCUACCCCGAUAUGACCUCAGAACUUUCCGUGGAAUGUACACUUAUAUUAUACAUAUUCCUGGAGUAAACUGCUUUUGCUUUAUGGAGAUAUAAGCAAUAGACUGAAGACCACAUGCCAAACUCCAUCGAGGUUGAAUGAUACUUCACGGAGAAUCAACCUAAAAAAGCUGCCUUUGGUUUUUGUCCUUCAUCUCAAAAGGCUUGUUCAGGACAAACGUUGAGGAUCUAAGAAAGUGAUGAAAUCUACAGAAUAUUCUGUCAGCUUAGAUCUUUCAAGAGUGGUUUAUCAUGAGGGGAAAGAAUGUGUCAAAAAGAUCAUUAUAUAACAGAUAUGUAUCAUGCUGGUAAUGGUGGCUGGUUACGUUGUGAUGACUACACCAUAUCUUCCAUUACUGAGAUACAUCUUCUUCAUCCCAGUCCACCCAUGGUUCCUUACCUUUUGUUUUACUGUUGUUUGGACACUGUCUAGCCAGGAAUCCUGACAAGAUGAGCCCGUUCAUUGAAGUUACAUCUUGUUAACUCUUUUCUGAGUCAAUGUUUUGUUGAUAGUCAUUGCAAAGCCUGGAUAAUUCAACUUUUGAGUUGCGUAUGUAUAUAAUAAGGUAUAUAUGUAGUGAGUACAUCCCGUCAGGUACAUCAACAAAUCAAAAUAUUGUUGUGAAAUCCAUUCAAGAUUCAGCCACGAAUCCAAACUUGUAGGAAUUUUAGUAGUCCAUCAUUAAAUAUACAUAUCUUAGUUAUCCAUAAAAGUCUUCAUUGACAGACGGUAUCACAGAAGAAGAAAACCUUUGUGUGCUCAAAAAAGAUAAAAAAAUAUCCUUUUCUAUGAGUUUUGGAUGAACCGAGUAUGAACUGAACUCGUAACAUUUU